CAUUCACCACAACCAGGGGCAGUCACACACUUGGGAUUGUCAAUCUUUGGGGCCUCCCACUCACCAUCCUCCUCGUCAUCCCAAUCCUCUGGCUUUGUGGCUUCAGGAUCCUCUACCUCCUCAGGUUCAUCAUCCAACCAUCCUUCAGGUUUCUCUGCUUCCUCAUCUUCAAUUUCCAUGGGUGCAUCCUCAUCCCAAUCAUCAGGUUUAACUGCAUUAGGAUCCGGAAUUUUGGCUCUCUCAUCCCAAUCCUCAGGCUUCUUAUCUUCUGGAUCAGGAAUUGUCUUGGUAGGGAUAAGUGGAGGCAUAAAAUCAUCAGCUGAUAAGAAGUUGGCCUUCUUCUUCUCCUCCCCGUCGACCAGAAUUAUCAACUCGUUAUCAGGUUUGAUGAUGGCAGUGUACACAUGAGAAAGUUUGUCAGCUGGAACAGAGGGUGGGGUGGUAAGAUG
rnacentral:lncRNA from 1 species